AUUGAACGCUGGCGGCAGGCCUAACACAUGCAAGUCGAGCGGAUGACGGGAGCUUGCUCCUUGAUUCAGCGGCGGACGGGUGAGUAAUGCCUAGGAAUCUGCCUGGUAGUGGGGGACAACGUUUCGAAAGGAACGCUAAUACCGCAUACGUCCUACGGGAGAAAGCGGGGGACCUUCGGGCAUUGCGCUAGCAGAGGAGCCUCGGUCGGAUUAGCUAGUUGGUGGGGUAAUGGUUCACCAAGGCGACGAUCCGUAACUGGUCUGAGAGGAUGAUCAGUCACACUGGAACUGAGACACGGUCCAGACUCCUACGGGAGGCAGCAGUGGGGAAUAUUGGACAAUGGGCGAAAGCCUGAUCCAGCCAUGCCGCGUGUGUGAAGAAGGUCUUCGGAUUGUAAAGCACUUUAAGUUGGGAGGAAGGGCAGUAAGCUAAUACCUUGCUGUUUUGACGUUACCGACAGAAUAAGCACCGGCUAACUCUGUGCCAGCAGCCGCAGUAA
rnacentral:rRNA from 1 species